GAAGUUACCCGUUGAGUUGCUAGUGGAACGGUAACAGAGAGCAGCUUGCUGCUCUGCUGACGAGUGGCGGACGGGUGAGUAAUGUCUGGGAAACUGCCUGAUGGAGGGGGAUAACUACUGGAAACGGUAGCUAAUACCGCAUAACGUCUUCGGACCAAAGUGGGGGACCUUCGGGCCUCAUGCCAUCAGAUGUGCCCAGAUGGGAUUAGCUAGUAGGUGGGGUAACGGCUCACCUAGGCGACGAUCCCUAGCUGGUCUGAGAGGAUGACCAGCCACACUGGAACUGAGACACGGUCCAGACUCCUACGGGAGGCAGCAGUGGGGAAUAUUGCACAAUGGGCGCAAGCCUGAUGCAGCCAUGCCCCGUGUAUGAAGAAGGCCUUCGGGCUGUAAAGUCC
rnacentral:rRNA from 1 species